rnacentral:lncRNA from 1 species
AUUGACAGGGUAAAUCUUGAGAUCCAGCAGGCUGAGCGAGAGUAUGACCUCAACCGUGCGGCUGAACUAAAAUAUGGGAGCUUGAACUCUUUGCAGCGUCAGCUUGAAGCUGCAGAAAAAGAAUUAGAUGAGUAUAUGAAGUCUGGGAAGUCCAUGCUUAGAGAAGAAGUUACGGGAGAUGAUAUAGCUGAGAUUGUCAGUAAAUGGACUGGAAUACCAGUUUCUAAGCUAAAGCAGUCAGAGAGGGAAAAGCUGUUGCAUCUGGAGGAAGAGCUUCAUAAAAGAGUUGUUGGUCAGGAUCCUGCAGUGAGAUCUGUGGCAGAGGCUAUCCAACGAUCUCGAGCAGGCCUUUCAGAUCCACACCGUCCAAUUGCUAGUUUUAUGUUCAUGGGACCUACGGGGGUUGGAAAAACAGAACUAGCGAAGGCUCUGGCUUCAUACAUGUUUAACACUGAAGAAGCACUUGUAAGAAUUGAUAUGAGCGAAUACAUGGAGAAGCAUGCAGUUUCAAGGUUAGUAGGAGCUCCACCUGGUUAUGUAGGCUACGAAGAAGGAGGACAGUUGACUGAGGUUGUUCGCAGAAGGCCAUAUGCUGUUAUUUUGUUUGAUGAGAUAGAGAAGGCUCACUCUGAUGUAUUCAAUGUUUUCCUGCAAAUUCUGGAUGAUGGUAGAGUUACCGACUCUCAGGGGCGUACCGUGAGUUUUACUAACACUGUGAUCAUUAUGACUUCAAACGUGGGUUCCCAAUAUAUACUUGACACAGAUGAUGACGCCUUGCCCAAAGAAAUGGCUUAUGAAACUAUAAAACAACGGGUUAUGGAGGCUGCAAGAGCUGUUUUUCGUCCAGAGUUCAUGAAUCGGGUUGAUGAGUACAUAGUUUUCCAGCCUCUGGACCGUGAUCAAAUCAACAGCAUAGUCAGAUUACAGGUAAAUUCUUUUUCCAUUAAUAAUAGACGAGUUUUUCAAGUAUGUUGGUGACUAUAUUUCAUUUUGUGGCAAUAAUAUAGGAAAUUAUGUUGAAAAUGCAUGUACUGGGUAGUGCUGUUGGAAUCGGCUAACUUGGUGAAAUAAACUUUAAUUGAUUUAUUUUUACUAGGAAUUUUCAGACUGAUGAUGAAUAAGUGUGUUGAACAACUUAUUUAACUGGGUUGAAUAAGUUUAGUUCUUUGAGAUAGACGAACAAACAGGCGUACUCGUACUCCCAAACGCCAAUUGUUCAUGUGUCCUCAUCUUCCUUCGACUCUGUGCAUAAGGAAUUUGACCAUCUUCAUGUACUUUAUUGACAUUAUGUCUCUGUUACAGCUGCAACGAGUACGGCAGAGGAUUUCAGAUCGGAAGAUGAAGAUUCACGUGACUGAUGCUGCCAUUCAACUGCUAGGCACUCUUGGGUAUGAUCCUAACUAUGGAGCUAGGCCUGUGAAGCGGGUAAUACAGCAAUAUGUUGAGAACGAGCUUGCUAAAGGAAUCUUGAGAGGAGAAUUCAAGGAUGAGGAUUCGGUGUUGAUAGACACCGAGGUAACAGCAUUUGCUA